AGGACGAACGCUGGCGGCGUGCUUAACACAUGCAAGUCAAGGGGGCCCGCAAGGGCAACCGGCGAACGGGUGCGUAACACGUGAGCAACCUGCCGAAUGCGUGGGGGAUAGCCGGCCCAACGGCCGGGUAAUACCGCAUACGUUCCCUUGGGGGAGUCCCUGGGGGAGGAAAGCUGUGGCGUAAGCCAUGGCGCGCGUCGAGGGGCUCGCGGCUUAUCAGCUAGUUGGCGGGGUAACGGCCCACCGAAGGCGACGACGAGUAGCUGGUCUGAGAGGAUGGCCAGCCACAUUGGGACUGAGAGACGGCCCAGACUCCUACGGGAGCAGCAGUGGGGAAUC
rnacentral:rRNA from 1 species